ensembl:lncRNA
AGCAGUGCCCCACUGAACUCAGCAUCCAGGCUACAGCACAGCACCUGGGAAUCUGUUCUCCAUGGAGAGACCCAUUUGUCCUUGUACAGAGACCUUUUCUUCCCCUCCAGAAGCACACGCCUGCCUUACAGGCUUCAAAUCUCACUGCAAGAUCAGAAGAAAACGGCCAAAGCCAUGGGUGGCAGAUAGCUUUGGGCAGAGCACAGGCGAAGCACAGUCUCAAACCAGUGUGUAUUAGUGAGCAAUACGUAUUUAACCUGUGGGAAAAGUCACACUUCAGUUUCUGUUCAGUUACCCCUGCAGAAGUGACAGAUGUCUGCUGGGGCAGGAAUUGGAGGGAGCGCGUGAAUAUGAAGAGGAAAAAGGAGUAAAAAACAACCCAGAAAAUGAGCUGAAAGACUCCCCCAAAUAUGAGCACACUAAAAUCUCUGCUCCAGAUGAAUUGUUGAACACAAGCUUAAGGAGAUUUAAGAACACUUUCCAGGUGCUAUUGCAUUGCACAGUAUUUUUCUUCCAGAGCUGGAUCUUGGAAAAGGGAAGCUUUUGAACGGUAUUUCAUUCUCCCCCAGAAUGAAAAAGGUACAUAAUAAAAGCUUCAGGAGAUCACCUGCUCUUAUAACAUAUUUGUUUCCUCACAGGCUGUAUUUUCACCAGCAUUCCAGUGCUGAGUGUUCACCCAACCCCUGGCUUUUGUUGCCAGCAGCAAAAUACAGUAAAGCAGACCUUAUGUUUGGUGUUUAGUGUGCUCUUAGCCUUCUAACACACUGCUUUAGCAACGCUGCAUGCAACCAAGUUUAAAAUACCACCACGGCAGCAGCAUGAUAACGAAGAGGAUACUGACCAAGCUGCUAAGACUGGGCAUGUUCUACUGCUGCUUAACUACAAAAACUCAGAUAGCUACAUAUGUAUGCUUGUUUGCUUUUUCCCCCCUCUCUCUCCUGAUUUUAAGGAUGUUUAUUGCAAAGACACUGCAGGGGACACAUUUCCCAACCACACACCCGACCCCUACGUUCAGUUUUCUGAAAGCCCACCAUCUGACAGUCCCACUGCCACUACAUUACGUGCCUCCAAGCCAGACUUAAAGCUCUGGUGGUGACACAGUCACUGGUAUAGAUAAUUUGGUUCCUAAAUGUUUUCUUUGUGCACUGAAACAACAUCUUUGAGCAGUUUCUUAAAUGUCAUUUCUUGCACUACACAAAGCAGGCAAUAAACAAUAAAAUUAUUCACCUUGAAGAAACCAUCUGCUGUCAUUAAGGACAUCACCACUUUUCUGUUGCUUUGAAUGGUCCUCUGAGAUGCUCUAAGUGUCAUUAAAAUGCUACGUU